UGAGGAAUUUUGCGCAAUGGGGGGAACCCUGACGCAGCAACGCCGCGUGGGUGAUGAAGGCCUUCGGGUCGUAAAGCCCUGUCGGGCGGGAAGAACGUCCCUUCGGGGAAUGACGGUACCGCCAGAGGAAGCACCGGCUAACUCCGUGCCAGCAGCCGCGGUAAUACGGAGGGUGCAAGCGUUAUUCGGAAUUACUGGGCGUAAAGGGCGUGCAGGCGGGAGAGCAAGUCUGAUGUGAAAGCCCGGGGCUUAACCCCGGAAGGGCAUUGGAAACUGCUUUUCUUGAGUUCUGGAGAGGAAGGGAGAAUUCCCGGUGUAGAGGUGAAAUUCGUAGAGAUCGGGAGGAACAUCAGUGGCGAAGGCGCCCUUCUGGACAGCAACUGACGCUGAGACGCGAAAGCGUGGGGAGCAAACA
rnacentral:rRNA from 1 species